GAUGAACGCUGGCGGCGUGCCUAAUACAUGCAAGUCGAGCGAACAGAUGAGGAGCUUGCUCCUCUGACGUUAGCGGCGGACGGGUGAGUAACACGUGGAUAACCUACCUAUAAGACUGGGAUAACUUCGGGAAACCGGAGCUAAUACCGGAUAAUAUAUUGAACCGCAUGGUUCAAUAGUGAAAGACGGUUUUGCUGUCACUUAUAGAUGGAUCCGCGCCGCAUUAGCUAGUUGGUAAGGUAACGGCUUACCAAGGCAACGAUGCGUAGCCGACCUGAGAGGGGGUUCGGCCACACUGGAACUGAGACACGGUCCAGACUCCUACGGGAGGCAGCAGUAGGGAAUCUUCCGCAAUGGGCGAAAGCCUGACGGAGCAACGCCGCGUGAGUGAUGAAGGUCUUCGGAUCGUAAAACUCUGUUAUUAGGGAAGAACAAAUGUGUAAGUAACGAUGCACGUCUGGACGGUACCUAAGCAGAAAGCCACGGCUAACUACGU
rnacentral:rRNA from 1 species